rnacentral:tRNA from 1 species
CCCUGGUUAGCUUAGUUGGUAGAGCGCUCCACCUAUAAUGGAGAGGUCCCGGGUUCGAUACCCGGACCAGGCG